UAACUUACAUCUACAAACGCCGGGGAAUUACGAGCUACGCUUAAAACCCAAAGGAUUUGACGGUGUCCCACCCCCCUAGAGGAGCCUGUUCUAUAAUCGAUAAUACCCGCUAUACCCAACCACCUCUCGCUAUUCAGUCUGUAUACCUCCGUCGAAAGCUUACCAUGUGAACGCCUACAGUAAGUACAAUGGCUACCAACGUCAACACGUCAGGUCAAGGUGCAGCUUAAGUGGUGGAAAGUAAUUGGCUACAAUUUCUAACCUAGAACAAACGGAAGGCUAUGUGAAACCAUAGUUCUGAAGGCGGAUUUAGUAGUAAAAAGAAAAUAGAGCGUUCUUUUUAACCCGGCUCUGGGACGCGUACACACCGCCCGUCAC
rnacentral:rRNA from 1 species